rnacentral:lncRNA from 1 species
ACUUAGGUGCUCAGUUCCAUUGUCUUUUUCUCAACAUGUUUAUAUGGAGUUGAACCCUAUUCUUUACAUGUUAUAUGACUUAAUUUGAAGUUGUAUUACGUGUUUGGCAAUUUAUUAUUGAAUCAAUUGAAUAGGUGUAUAGACUAAAUAGUCUUCGAAUAAUUCCGGAGUCGAAAGGGCCUUAUUUUAAAGCCAAAAUUUCAAAAGGGAAAAUGAAUUAUCAAUUAACCAAAAGGUACAAAGUGUUGUAUUCUCAGCAACAAACAAAUUCUAUUGACGACUUACCUAAACAACAAUUUAUUAAUUCGUCGGGCAAAUUCCUACGACAUAAAAAUUUUAUUUUCUUCUCAGUCGUUCUAUGCCAACUUCCAAUUUUUUUUGUUAAUUUUUAGUGUUGUCAACCAACACAACAAGGUACUUUUUAGUCAUUCUGUGAUUCUUCUAUUUGGUAGUCCUGCAAAGGCUCAUGCCUCACCUGAAUAUAUAAGAUCUUCAAUUCAUGUCGUCCAGUUUUCUGUCACCUACAAUUGAAAUCCUAUUGUUUGCAACAACUACGCUCUUAUAUGUAAGAAGAACACUCAAAAAGAUCAAAGCAAUUAGACAUGUAUUCUUUACCUGUUCGGCAAUUAUUCUGUCAUUGGACGUCAUGUCAAUGUAAGUAUGUUACAUGAAACAAAAAAAAUUCUCUCAUUACAAAGAAAGACCUAUAUAUUCUGCCUAUCAUAUAAUAUUUAUACUUAUUUUACAAGCACACUGUAGUACAUUAAAGUAACUACUUCAUAACAAUACCCCUCGUACAUUUUGUUGGAAUGACUAAUCACAAUAGAUCGAG